CACAAGCGGUGGAGUAUGUGGUUUAAUUCGACGCAACGCGCAGAACCUUACCUAGGCUUGACAUCCCGGGAAUUUGCUGGAAACAGUGAAGUGCUUUCAUUAGAAAGAGCCCGGUGACAGGUGCUGCAUGGCUGUCGUCAGCUCGUGUCGUGAGAUGUUGGGUUAAGUCCCGCAACGAGCGCAACCCUCGCCUUUAGUUGCCAGCAUUCAGUUGGGCACUCUAAAGGGACUGCCGGUGUCAAACCGGAGGAAGGUGGGGAUGACGUCAAGUCCUCAUGGCCUUUAUGUCUAGGGCUACACACGUACUACAAUGGCAGGUACAAAGGGCAGCGACACAGCGAUGUGAUGCGAAUCCCGAAAAGCCUGUCUCAGUCCGGAUCGGAGUCUGCAACUCGACUUCAUGAAGUCGGAAUCGCUAGUAAUCGCGAAUCAGAACGUCGCGGUGAAUACGUUCUCGGGGUUU
rnacentral:rRNA from 1 species